UUUGAAAGAUAAUCAUAAGCAUUAGUGAUGCAUAGUAAGAAAUAGAAACCAUAGGUAAAGACAAGAAACAUUAAAAUUUCUAGUUUCACAGAUGCCUACGAUUUUCAUAAAAUUAAAACUAUUUCCAAAGUCCUUCCAACAAGUUCUCACCUAGCAUUGUCAUCAAGCAUCUUGGAUGUCACCCCACCCCGAAACAAACAGCAUCAAGGAUGGCAAAGAUAAAGAAGAUGUUUGGAGCUACAGCUCUCAAGGGACAACUGGACAGGAUCCUAGGAGAAGGAAACAUUAAAACAAACAUAAAGAAACUAGUUGGAAGAGAAAAAGUAAAUCUUCCCACACUCGAGUUACACAUAACAAACAACCUGCUCAAAAAAAGCCGGCAGUUUAUAAAUGUGUGUGAGAGGUAGGUGCUGCAUAAAUGGCUAUAAAAUGCAAUGAAGCUUGUGGCAAACAGCUUUGCAGAUGUCUUGCCUCCCUCUUGCUAGCUAACUUCCAUUCCCGAGAACACUUCCC
rnacentral:lncRNA from 1 species